ACUAAAUACAUAUCUCUCUUCUUUUACAGUACUUGAAAUGCAUGUAUUCACUAUCUUUCAGAUAGGUAGAUGGAUAGAUAGAUAGACAGAUAGAUAACUAUUAGUGAUCUCUCAAUACCUGAAGUUGAUUGAGGAAAACACUCUAGGAAGAUCAGUUUUCAAGAAUUUCAGCUGUUGAAUUAUCUGGAGUCCACAGACCUAAACAGUAAUACCAUAACACCUUAUAUUUGUUGAUUGCUGUAUCUUGUAUUCUAAUGAUAUGACCCUGUGAUAGGCAGAGAUGGGCCCCAAGAUUCCCAGACCCUGUUGUUAACAUCCAGUUAUUUGAUCAAACACUAAUUUAGGUACUACUUAAAUACCUUUGCAAAUAUAAUUAAGGUCUCAAACCAGUUAACCUUAAGAUAGGGAGAUGAGUUGGUGGGCCUGAUCUAAUCAUACAGGCACUUUAAAUGUGGGUGGAGAGGCUAGAGAGAGGAAGUCAGAGAGAUACAAAGUGUGGGAGGGAUUCAAUGAGAGUAAUUUUCCUCUGGCUUUGAAGAUGGAGGGAGCCCAUGUGACAAGAACCUGAGAGCAACCACCAGAGGCUGAGGGCCUAUGUCCUGGUGGCAACCCAGAAAGAAAAUUGGACCCCAGUCCUACAACCUCAAGGAUCAACUCAGCCAACAACCUGAAUGAACUUGGAAGUGGAUUCUUCCCCAGAACCUUCAGAAGGAACAUAGCCUGGCUGACACCUUGAUUUCAGCUUAAUGAUACUCUCAACAGAGAACGUUACAUGUCAAGCUGGACUUCCGACAUUUAGAACUUUGAACCAAGCGUGAACACCCAGCAGAACUGCAGUGGCAGCAUGGGCAGCCCAAAUUCUGAGAGAAGUUUCGCUUUUUGGGUAGAAGACCAGGAAAGGGAGCUGCUUUGAGCAGGAGAGAGAAUUCUGGAGAUGAGAGAGCUGGAUGAGUUGAAAACUGGCAGUUCAAAAGGACACUGAAGCUUUAGACACAAGCAUGGCUGGGAAGAGAAACAAGGCUGAGAGAACACAGAGACAGGCUUUCUCUUUGAGGUUAUAAAAUAGCUGCCAGAAUCUCCACAAGAACUAUAUUCUUUCAGAUUCCAAUCCAGCAGAAAAAAAGUGAGUGUCUUUCGGCAAUCCUAGAAAACUAAACCAUGAUAGUUGCUCAGAGUGGACCAACAGUAACUGAAACCAGGUUGUUAGUGUACUGGUUUCAUGAGCUUCUAGGGACCAGGAAUAAAGCCUCAAGCAGGACAAGCGAACUGAGAGUGGGGAGAGGAGGAUCCCCAAAUAAAAAUAAAGGUUGUUGCCACAAGAAAGGGGAGUGGAUGCCUAAUAAUUAAACAACAAAUGUCAAAUGCAAGGUAAGAGAAUUACUUGAUUCUCUUUUUUCCUCUCUCCUUAACAUAAAUAUA